GCCUGUUUGGCUUAGUGGAUAGAGCGUUGGCCUACAGACUCAAGGGUCCCAGGUUCGAUUCCGGUCAAGGGCA
rfam:Myotis brandtii contig233661, whole genome shotgun sequence.